ACAACGGAGAGUUUGAUCCUGGCUCAGGAUGAACGCUAGCGGCAGGCCUAACACAUGCAAGUCGAGGGGCAGCACGAUAAAGCUUGCUUUAUUGGUGGCGACCGGCGCACGGGUGAGUAACGCGUAUGCAACCUACCUUAUACUGGAAGAUAGCCCGAAGAAAUUCGGAUUAAUACUCCAUAGUAUUAUUAGACAGCAUUGUUUGAUAAUUAAAGCUCCGGCGGUAUAAGAUGGGCAUGCGUCCUAUUAGCUAGAUGGUAAGGUAACGGCUUACCAUGGCUACGAUAGGUAGGGGGUCUGAGAGGAUGGUCCCCCACACUGGUACUGAGACACGGACCAGACUCCUACGGGAGGCAGCAGUGAGGAAUAUUGGUCAAUGGGCGCAAGCCUGAACCAGCCAUGCCGCGUGAAGGAUGAAGGUUCUAUGGAUUGUAAACUUCUUUUAUUUGGGAAUAAACCUCUCUACGUGUAGAGAGCUGAAGGUACCAAACGAAUAAGCACCGGCUAACUCCGUGCCAGCAGCCGCGGUAAUACGGAGGGUGCAAGCGUUAUCCGGAAUCAUUGGGUUUAAAGGGUCCGCAGGCGGACUUAUAAGUCAGUGGUGAAAUCUCACAGCUCAACUGUGAAACUGCCAUUGAAACUGUAAGUCUUGAAUUCGGUCGAAGUGGGCGGAAUAUGACAUGUAGCGGUGAAAUGCUUAGAUAUGUCCUAGAACACCAAUAGCGAAGGCAGCUCACUAGGCCUGGAUUGACGCUCAGGGACGAAAGCGUGGGGAGCAAACAGGAUUAGAUACCCUGGUAGUCCACGCCGUAAACUAUCAAUACUCGAUAUUAGCGAUAUACAGUUAGUGUCUAAGCGAAAGUGAUAAGUAUUGCACCUGGGGAGUACGAUCGCAAGGUUGAAACUCAAAGGAAUUGACGGGGGCCCGCACAAGCGGUGGAGCAUGUGGUUUAAUUCGAUGAU
rnacentral:rRNA from 1 species